rnacentral:lncRNA from 1 species
CCGCGAAACAGGUAGACAACUGUUAUAACGAGGCAUUAUUGGCAUUUGUUUACUGCCGUUACUAAGGAAUGCAUUUAUAUUUAUCUCACGCAAACGUAACGGUAUUACUUCUGUGUAGGUGUUCGGAAAAAUUGACAAACGCAUAUAUGCGUCCUUAGUCCAUGCCGGACACUUACAGAAAACGCAUAUAUGUGUCCUUAGUCCACACCGAUAGCUUUCGCCAGACGCAUAUAUGCGUCCAUAACACUCUAAGGAUUAAAAUAAAUAAUCGCGACGUAACGGUUUCCAUAGACCGAUUAAAACCCGCGUUUAUAGUUCCGGAUGACCUAGAGAAACAAACCGCCGAUUCUGGUAACGUACUGAUUCCGACGAAACCAGUGCAAGCGACAACGAUCGAACCGCGGAAGAAAACACUAGGAAUAGAUACGUUACGCGGUCUGGUUUCUGGCAGGUUUCGGGUAAUAGUCGUAAAUUGUCGGACAGAGGAUAUAUUGUAUGCGUUCAACCUGUAAAAUGGUGACAAGAAAUAGUGUAAAUAAUUUUUUUACGAAUACGACCUAAGAAUAACGAUAUUGCUGGUAGUGGGGUGAUGUAGCGGCACAUGAGUCAUAAGACGAGGCGGAUCGAGUGCGACUCAUGUUAUUGUUUUGCCUCAGGAUAUUGGCACACCCUUGACACACGAAACCUAAUGAUAAAUAAACUCCGGGCAAUACAAUGUUGCCGCUACGUGCAACCGUCGAACAAAGACGAAUUUGAAUUUUUCGGCUCUGCCACAACCAGUAUAAAUAAACGGACACGAUCGCGAGCGAGACAGUAUAUGCCGAGUAUCUACGAAUUAGCGACCAAUAUCUACGAGAUUGUCCGAGUUAUUAUCCGCGUUAUAGUUAUCGAGUUAUCUGCGAGCGAUUACAAAGUAUCGUCGCGAAUGUAUUGAACGAGCGUCUUUCGACGGUAUUUAUACUUAUAUUUAUUUAAUUUAUUCGAAAUAUAUUUGACGGGUUGCAACAGCAAUCUUUCACUCUUGUUAUUCUAUAAUACCGAUCCUUAACCAUUCCUUUAUAGUAUUAUCGAAGAAUCUUUAGAAAAUGGGGUAACUAUUAAUCAAUUAAUGUAUCAUUUACUUUAACCUUUUCGCUACGGCAGUGUGCUCCGUCGGAGUGACACCGGAAUAACGGUACUGAAGUGCGGAACACUGCGACGGAAAGCGUGCAUAUGUUGCGCGUAGGUAAACUGGUGUUCGGACUUCCAUCUUUCGGUGCAGCCUCGUCAUUAUCCGGAUGGUACGAUUCUUUGAGUGUUAUACAACAACAUAUUUGGAGAUUUUGCAAUUAUUAUCAAUAAAAAUAUAUUUAAAAAUUAAAAAUUACACUUUACAAUAACAAAUUGGUAUCUAUGGUCGUCUAUAGGCGACGCUAGUAGCGAAAGGGUUAAUGUCCAGGUCAGUAGCAUUCCUUUUGUCAUAAAUAACAUUUCUACGGUGACAAAAGUGAUGCUAUAAUAUAUUAAAUAUCUUUUCCAUUUCUUCGAUGAAACAUCACAAAUGCUUUCUUCGCUAUCAUUUCUUAUUUCAAAUUCAAAUUCGGUUUUUCGAUGAAUCUUUAUUCACUGGGAUAGGUUAUAGUGAAAUCUUCGACCGAACAUUUUACAUGAAACUUCGACACUCGAAAGGGAUACCUCACAGGUGGGUCUUCGUUUCCGCGUAAGUUACUUUUCUCUUUUAGAAAAAGUAAAUCGAAGAUCCGUUAUUUUUGAAAAUAAUUUUCCUCCAAUCCUAUAUAGCUGUCUAAAUAACAAAGUAUGUUAAGGAUCAUCAUAUUCUGUUGUCUCCACUUUGUAAAGAGAUACACAUUUAUUAAACACUCGUAUUCUAUAAUCACCAGACUUACGAGUAUAUGCACAUUUUAAAAUUAAAAAAAUCAAUAAGUUAGACAUUGUAUAAAUCAAAUAGGUAAAAUACUCAAACAUAAUCAGCACAUGGUUUAAGCUUCAAGUUGGAUCUCUAAGAGUACUACCGUCGAAGGAAUCAAAACGACUACCUUUCAUGCUCGUCACCUAUCAUCUUCUCAACAAUUCAAUAGCAGUCAAUGGUGAGCUUGCGGUUUACGGUCAUGGAAAAUGAUCAGGAAUGGGUUUUUCAAUUAGCAAAGUAGAGGUUUGACAAGCAAAUUAAAGCGAAUGUAACAGCUAUGCCGACGUAUCGAGUCACCGGCUUCAAUUGCCGUAUAACGGGUGGUCUUGUAAUACAGAUCGAAAAUGACAAACUGGAUGACAAACGACUGACUGGAACGAUGGUACUCUCAGGCCCAGCCCGCGUAUUGCCCGCACCGCGCAGUCUGCGGCAAGCUCGCCAUGGCGCAGCGUCUUAUGCCACCAAAGUCCCCACGGUCAGGACCAACGUGUCGUCCACGUAAUACACCAUGCGUGUGUCUGGGAACAUGGGACAGCUAGGCACCGCAACUCCUCGCUCGACGAGCCGCCGCCUAUCUCUAUCUCAGGUAAUCCCGGAUAACGCGAAUAAUGUAUGGAGGCACCUGGAAGAAUUCAGGGGCCUGCAUUAUACCGUCUCAGCAUAUCCCUUGCCCUGUUCGAGCAGGAUCCCAGCGGCGGGUGUGCCGGGUGCUGACAUCCAUGUCACAGCAACCAAGCCAGGUCUCCGUAUCCCAAGACAGGUAUCUUUUCUAGAAUUAAGCAUUAGAUUCAACCAGAAUUAAACGUACGAUAAACAUUUAUUAUUCAAGUUAUAGCACACCAAAAUAAUUUACUUAUAAUUUUCAAUGAGAAUUGAUUCUAAAAUUCUUUCAAAUAAAAAAAAAUGUUAUCUUUUCGAUACAAAUUCAUACAAUCUAACAUGACAUGAUGAUACAUUUUAAACAAAAUUUUGUAUUUCAUCGUGUAUACUAUUACCUUCAUUGUAUAUAAUUUUCACAAAUAGUUUGAUAUGCAAAUUUCAUAACAAUAAAUAAGAAUGAUUGAAAUGUAUAACUAGAAACGAAGACAGAGACUAUAAGUGGUAAUAUUGUCAUUAUGAGCAUCGUAAUUGAUAUUACGAUUGAUAUAUAUAAAGAAUAUAUAAAGAAUAAGUUGAUUAAAAUUUUGAACAAAAUACAAAUUUAAUGUUAAUUAUUUUCAUUUUUUAACAUUUAACGCUCCGAUUUUCAAUUGUGAAAAUCGACCGGCAACUCCAACUUAUAAUCAUCAUACUUCGACUUUCAAGUUUUUAGCACUUUACCAACCGACACCCUAUUAAUCGGUUUAUCUUCGCCAACGCUUACCAACCGAUAGCCGAUUAAUCGGUUUAUUGUCGCCGAAGAUUACCGACCGAUAGCCUUGUUAAUUUGCCGCUGGAGGACGCCAUUGCCGCUAGCGCCAACUCUCUGUUAGUCCUGGGCCACAAGACCACCAUCAGCCUCCGUUGCAUUGAAAAAACUUUGUUCCUUUUUUCUUUUUUUCUUUUCUUCUCUUUUCUUUUCAUUUAUUUUAUUUAUGUGUUGGAUCUAUUAUCUAAUUUUCGUGUAGGAAAUUCUCACAGACAACAUCUUAGCACACUGCCCUGCGGGCCGAGGGACACAGGGCGACAGAAGGUAGUACCGAUAGUAAAUAACACAAACAAGGCAAGUUGAAUACUUAGAAUUCCACUUGGACAAAUAAUUUACAUGGAGGCUACAUACUAAAUUAAUUCUAGACAAAAUAUGGAUAAAAAGAAGACAGAUGUACUGGCUAACUAAUCGAAAUUCUAAACUCAGCAUGGAAAAUAAAUUAAAACUCUACAAAACGGUAUUAAAAGCAAUUUGGACAUAUGAAAUAACACUAGGGGGGACAGCAGCGAUGAGACACAUAAAUGAACUAAAGUCGCUACAUCGAAGAUACUGGCAACAAUAGUCAACGCCCUCUGGUAUGUCAGAAACGAGGAUAUACGCAAAGACCUAGAAAUACCAACGGUCGAAGAAGAACUCGGCAGAUACGCAAAAUAUAUAAGGAAAGAACGGAAACACAUCCAAACCAGCUGGCUGAUAAAGCCAGCUUAACUCGCACAGGAAGAACAUUAAAAAGAAAACACCCCAGUGACCUCACUAAAGAAAUAAAAUAGUCAAACUCGAAAAUGUUCUAGAUGGUUGGAAAAGUCGACCGGCGCCACUCAUCCAAUUUAACGUCGGAUUUCUUCAACCGAAGCGUCGGUCGACAACGAAGGUCGUACACAGGUUCGUUUGAAGCGCUCUUAAACCCGAAUCAAAUGGACGAUAUUUAUAUCGUCUGUCUGCCAAUCGCACAGUGGUACCAGUUGCGAUGUACACACCCGUCGCUUGUAUCAAUACGCACAGAACUUGUAAUAAACAAGCGAAAAUUCUGCUAACGGAUAUGUAAGCCUAUGUUGGCUAAUAAAAACACUUUUAUUCGUAUAUCUUAAAGCUCGGUGCAGAUGAGCGAUAUUUUAUUGCAGGGCAUCGCUCCGGUGCCGUUGGAAAAGGAGAGAAAUAAAUAAAGUUCUCCUGUUUCACAAAAGAAGGAUACAUACAUAUGUAUUUUCUUGUUCUUCCAACCCAUUGCCGUUGCAGUCAUUUGUUGCAAAUUAGAUCGUUUGCAUCGGACCCAAAUCUUGAGGUUAAAAUCUUUUGUUACAAAUUAUUAAUUAGAUCUAUUUAUAACAUAUGCUAAUCCCAUAUGUUAUAAAAUCUCUGCCGGUGCAGUGGAAAACCCAAGGGUAAGCAUUUUGAAAAUAAGUGCAUUAGAAGAGGAAUUAGAACGGCCUUCUCUUACUACAAGAAAUAUAAUAGCAGCAAAAAUAUAUCAUUAAGAGUUUCAUAAUAGAUUUAAUAAUAAUGAUUUAAUUAAAGGAAUUAUUUACCUUUACCCCUUAUAUUUUGAGAGGGCUACGAACAAUGUACAUCUCCUUCA